GGUAAAGGCCUACCAUGGCGACGAUCUGUAGCUGGUCUGAGAGGAUGAUCAGCCACACCGGGACUGAGACACGGCCUGGACUCCUACGGGAGGCAGCAGUGGGGAAUAUUGGACAAUGGGGGAAACCCUGAUCCAGCCAUGCCGCGUGUGUGAAGAAGGCCUUUUGGUUGUAAAGCACUUUAAGCAGUGAAGAAGACUCCAUGGUUAAUACCCAUGGACGAUGACAUUAGCUGCAGAAUAAGCACCGGCUAACUCUGUGCCAGCAGCCGCGGUAAUACAGAGGGUGCAAGCGUUAAUCGGAAUUACUGGGCGUAAAGGGAGCGUAGGUGGCUCUAUAAGUCAGAUGUGAAAUCCCCGGGCUUAACCUGGGAACUGCAUCUGAAACUGUAGAGCUAGAGUAUGUGAGAGGAAGGUAGAAUUCCAGGUGUAGCGGUGAGAUGCGUAGAGAUCUGGAGGAAUACCGAUGGCGAAGGCAGCCUUCUGGCAUAAUACUGACACUGAGGCUCGAAAGCGUGGGUAGCAAACAGGAUUAGAUACCCUGGUAGUCCACGCCGUAAACGAUGUCUACUAGUCGUUGGGUCCCUUGAGGACUUAGUGACGCAGCUAACGCAAUAAGUAGACCGCCUGGGGAGUACGGCCGCAAGGUUAAAACUCAAAUGAAUUGACGGGGCCCGCACAAGCGGUGGAGCAUGUGGUUUAAUUCGAUGCACGCGAGAUCCUUACCUGGUCUUGACAUAUCUAGAAUCCUGCAGAGAUGCGGGAGUGCCU
rnacentral:rRNA from 1 species